ACACACGAGGGUGGGUUUCAGCUCCCACUUGUUUUUUUGGUCAGGUUCCCCAAGAAACAGACUCGGGAUUUGCAUGCAGGAGUCUUAUUGGGGAACGCUUUCAGGAACUACCACCCCGUAUGGGAGCGAGAGAAGCAGGACUGUGCAGAAGGAGAAGUUGAACAACUCCUGGAAAGCUCUGAAGCUGGGAUCAUCCUUCCAGAAUGUCUUGGAUUGAGACAAGGGUUUCACCAGCAACAGAGAAAGCAGAAGCCAUCCUGGGCAAACCUGGACAGGUGGUCACCGUGUGAAACCUGAAGUCCCCUUUGAUCCUCCCAUCUGGUUACAACCACCCCCAAUCAGAGUACUUUAAUCAGCAUUUAAUGACCCAGUCGAAAAUUCAUUGUUUGGACCCAAGCACUGGUGGGAAAGGCAGGAGGGGAGGCCUGCCUUCCUUCCUCCCUCCCGAGCCCUACAGCAGGCCAUGGAGUGGUGAGCGAGUUCGUACAGUGCCAACCACAUUCCCAGAAACUUCCAGCAGAGGUUAAUCCUGCUCCUCUCAGGUGGGCUUGGCCCAUUCUCUAGACUUUGGAAGGUAAUGUUCUAUAGAGGCCUGUUCUGAAGCUUUACCAGGUCAAACCGGAGAAGAACCCAACAAGUAACUCAUCCCAGCCUAACUAUUCUUCAAGGGCAAUCAACCUACAGCAUCCAAGCACAGAGAAAUCAAAUCCAUGGAGAAUCUUCAAAUUAGGCUCAGAAUCCAUUUGGGUCAAUGAAUUUACUGUUAUUAAGAUCUUA
ensembl:lncRNA ZNF503-AS1 ZNF503 antisense RNA 1